UUACUCCUGCUGUGUACGAUCGGGAGAGCAAUUUUUUACCUUAAUUAUGGAACCGGGAGUUCGAUAUUUGAGUAGCUGACGGCAAGCCGUCUUUGAAUGGACGUCGGUAAGCUACCGUGAGAGCACCCCCCUAUUUGGGUUAAGGUUCAAGAAUUGCUUAUCUAACGGCACAACGCGGGGCUGCC
rnacentral:other from 1 species